CCUACGGGAGGCAGCAGUGGGGAAUAUUGGACAAUGGGCGAAAGCCUGAUCCAGCCAUGCCGCGUGAGUGAAGAAGGCCUUAGGGUUGUAAAGCUCUUUCAGCGGGGACGCGGUACCCGCAGAAGAAGUCCCGGCUAACUUCGUGCCAGCAGCCGCGGUAAUACGAAGGGGACUAGCGUUGUUCGGAUUUACUGGGCGUAAAGCGCGCGUAGGCGGAUAUUUAAGUCAGGGGUGAAAUGCCAGGGCUCAACCUUGGAAUUGCCUUUGAUACUGGAUGUCUGGAGUUCGGGAGAGGUGAGUGGAAUUCCGAGUGUAGAGGUGAAAUUCGUAGAUAUUCGGAGGAACACCAGAAGCGAAGGCGGCUCACUGGCCGAACUGACGCUGAGGCGCGAAAGCGUGGGGAGCAAACAGGAUUAGAUACCCUGGUAGUC
rnacentral:rRNA from 1 species